rnacentral:misc_RNA from 1 species
GUGCUUCCCUAGUAAGAGGCCCUCGAGAAACAGAAGUUCACGAAAAGACUCAACCAGCUGUUCAUCUUUCGGAUCAUGAGCUCCUUCCAUGACUAUCUGCAAGGUUUGGCUACGUUUCUUCAGCGAGUCCCGAAUCUUAAGUGGACAAGUUAACAUUGAUUUGAUGACUGAAUUAGAAGAUGAAGAAGGCUUGUCUUCUCCCGCAGAGGGAAGAAGCCAAUGGGAUUCAAUGGGGGGAAGGAUGGACUUGGUCCUUUUAGUUGCGGACUGAGAUUUCUUCGAGAUGGAAGAUUCCUCACCUUCUCCACGUCCUCUUGAUAUCACAAUCUCCCGGUAAGUGUCCUUCGAUUUAAACAUACGCACUCAACUCAACUCAAUAAUAUCCUGAUUUUCAGCUUUCAGGAAUCUGAUCCUACUCACUUUUAUAGCUUAUGAAAAGCAAUGUGAUCCAAAUUUCAUGGUUUUCUUCAAGUUAAUUAUUCAAUCAAAUUCAUUUGCCAUAAAUCAUCAAAUCAACCAAUGGAAGAAAGAAGAAAAAAAAAAGUAGAAUUGAGAAUAUAUAAAUUAUGCUCGCUCACAAAGUCUACAAAAUUAUUCAUGACUAUUUUGAUGACAGCUGCCAGACAAAACUCAACAGCGAAGGAAUUGAACCCGAUUGAAUUUAGAUCAUUAUGGAGAAGAAAAUACCCGAUUGAAUAAGAAAAAGUGCGGGUGAAUGGAACCCCAUAUGAGAAAAGAGAAAU